AAAUAUUUUUAGUGGCUCAUAAUUUCAUAUCACCGUCAACCCCUUCGCGAAUAGCUACAUGCCUUUUCAGCAGACUUAUUUACCCGACGCGCAGGACAAAACAAGGAAGUGUAAAAUAUUGUGCCGUUGAGGGUGUUCUUUCAUCAAACAAGUGGUUGUGCUUUGAUAGUCGACAAUGUUUAAAUUCUAUUGUGUUCUAUUCUAAUUGAAAUGGCUGAAAAAUUGUACGAAUAUCAAGGACUGUCUGGAAGAUUGCACACAAUUAGAGAUGAUGUACGGGAACGAUACGCAUUGUGGAAAGAAAGAAAUCCAGGAGGUAUUGUAGAUAAUAUUAAGAGAUGUUUUGCCAGUGAAAAUUGUGGCACUGGAAAUGUUGUUUACGAGGAUUAUUCUCACAUUUACAGACGUAAAAGCAGAAAGGAACUGAUCCGCAUAUCAGCUGCCGUAAUGGGCAUUGAAUUCUCAUAUGCUGCUGAAACUGCUUUUGUAUCGCCGACUCUUCUGAAAAUCGGCGUCGAGCACAAACAUAUGACUUUGGUCUGGGCUUUGUCUCCCCUUAUUGGUUUUUUUUUGACUCCAAUAUUAGGAUCACUGAGUGAUAGAUGUCCAUUGAAAUUGGGAAGGAGGAGACCGUUCAUUUUUAUUAUGUCGCUUGGCGUUUUAUUAGGGUUAAUACUUGUUCCAAAUGGCGAGGAAAUGGGAUAUUCCAUGGGCGAUGAAAGGCCUCCUAAUGUCACACUUUCUAGUGUGGUGUCACAUCGUACUAGUGCUUCGGUAAAAGAUGAAUUGCCAGAAAGAUAUUCCGAGUAUUUACCAGAAUAUAACAAUUAUCAUCCAUGGGGUGUUUUCUUUACUAUAUUGGGGACAGUUUUAUUGGAUUUUGAUGCGGACGCUUGCCAAAGUCCUGCACGUGCUUAUUUAUUAGAUGUGACAAUACCAGACGAUCACGCUAGAGGAUUGAGUACGUUUACAAUAAUGGCUGGUUUAGGAGGAUUUUUUGGAUAUGCACUAGGAGGAAUCGAUUGGGAUAAUACAUCUAUUGGAGUGUUACUAGGUGGACACGUUAAAGCAGUAUUUACUUUAAUUACAAUUAUAUUUGUAAUAUGUGUAUCAUACACAAUUACUAGUUUUAAGGAAAUGCCCUUAUAUCUUUUCGAACUUAGAGGUGAUAUGGAUCACGAUGAAAUCACUUCUAAUUAUGAACGAUAUCGAGAGGAGGCAGAAAAUGAACAAAUUCCUAUUGAUGGGCAAAACUACGGAGCACUAGAUACAAAAAGUGACUUUGGAAAUUCCGAGAAAUACUCUGCAGCAGAACCUGAGGAACUUAAACCGAGGAAAAGUAUAGCUCCAGAUCCUAAUGCUUCUUUUAUAAUAUAUUUGAAGAGUAUUAUAUUUAUGCCACAUUCUAUAAGAAUGUUAUGUCUGACAAAUUUAUUCUGUUGGAUGGCACAUGUAUGUUACUCAUUGUAUUUUACUGAUUUUGUUGGGGAAGCGGUUUUCUUAGGAAACCCUGUGGCUCCAAUUACUGACCCAACUCGAGAAUUAUAUGAAAGUGGUGUACGAUUUGGUUGUUGGGGGAUGUCGAUGUACUCUCUAUCAUGUUCAUGUUAUUCUAUGAUUAUUGAAAAACUCAUCGCUCGAUUUGGAGCAAAAAAAGUGUAUGUGGGUGGUCUUUUAGUUUAUUCUAGCGGGAUGUUGUUGAUGGCUAUAACGAAACAUAAAGUUGGAGUGAUAUUGUUUAGCUGGACAGCGGGUGUUAUGUAUUCCACAUUGUUUACUAUGCCGUAUUUGAUUAUUGCACAUUAUCAUGCAAAGGGAACGUUCGAAAUAAAUUCCGAGGGUGAAGAGAAAAUAAGCAGCCAAAUACGGGGACUUGGUACUGACGUGGCAAUAGUUUCUAGUAUGGUAUUCCUCGCUCAAUUCAUUCUUUCUCUGUGUAUGGGAACUAUAGUAAGCGUUUCUGGUACCACCACGGCUGUUGUCAGUGUGGCCAGUUCGUUGGCUUUCUUUGGAGCUAUAUCUGCUACACGUGUUAUGUAUCUUGAUCUAUAGAACCGAAUGAAUUAUUCCAUAUUAAAUUGAAAUCGCAUAUUUUAUUUACUAAUAAAUAUGUAAUUAAAAAUAAUUGGCGGACAAUACAAAGGUGUACGUGUAAUUAAUGUAUGCAUGAAAAUUAUUAUGUCGAAAUUGUUAGUAAUAU